GUCUACGGCCAUGCCACCCUGAACAAGCCCGAUGUCUGAUCUUGGAAGCUAAGCAGGGUCGGGCCUGGUUAGUACUUGGAUGGGAGACCACCUAGGAAGACCAGGUGCUGUAGGCA
rnacentral:rRNA from 1 species